rnacentral:rRNA from 1 species
UACGGGGGGGGCAAGCGUUGUUCGGAAUUACUGGGCGUAAAGGGUUUGUAGGUGGCCCGCUAAGUCACACGUGAAAUCCCUCAGCUUAACUGGGGAACUGCGUGUGAGACUGGCAGGCUCGAGGGCAGGAGAGGAACGCGGAAUUCCAGGUGUAGCGGUGAAAUUCGUAGAUAUUGGGAAGAACACCGGUGGCGAAGGCGAUCAUCUGGACCACAACUGACGCUGAGGCGCGAAAGCGUGGGGAGCAAACAGG